rnacentral:rRNA from 1 species
GUGGGGAAUAUUGGGCAAUGGGGGAAACCCUGACCCAGCGACGCCGCGUGAGGGAAGACGGCCUUCGGGUUGUAAACCUCUUUUGUACGGGAAGAAGGAAGUGACGGUACUGUACGAAUAAGUCCCGGCUAACUACGUGCCAGCAGCCGCGGUAAUACGUAGGGGACGAGCGUUGUCCGGAAUUACUGGGCGUAAAGGGCGCGCAGGCUGUGCUGCAAGCUAGCUGUGAAAUGUCUGGGCUUAACCCGGGCAUGCGGUUGAGAACGCAGUGCUGGAGUGCUGUAAAGGCAGGUGGAAUUCCCAGUGUAUCGGUGAAAUGCGUAGAUAUUGGGAAGAACACCGGUGUCGAAGGCGACUUGCUGGGCAGCAACUGUCGCUGAGGCGCGAAAGCCAGGGGAGCAAACGGGAUUAGAUACCCCGGUAGUCC